rnacentral:rRNA from 1 species
AGAGCGAACGCUGGCGGCAGGCCUAACACAUGCAAGUCGAGCGCCCGUAGCAAUACGGGAGCGGCAGACGGGAUAGUAACACGUGGGAACGCGCCCUUCGGUUCGGAAUAACUCAGGGAAACUUGAGCUAAUACCGGAUACGCCCUUACGGGGAAAGAUUUAUUGCCGAAGGAACGGCCCGCGUCCGAUUAGCUAGUUGGUGAGGUAAUGGCUCACCAAGGCUCCGAUCGGUAGCUGGUCUGAGAGGAUGACCAGCAUCACUGGGACUGAGACACAGCCCAGACUCCUACGGGAGGCAGCAGUGGGGAAUAUUGGACAAUGGGCGCAAGCCUGAUCCAGCCAUGCCGCGUGGAUGAUGAAGGCCUUAGGGUUGUAAAGUCCUUUAACGGGAAGAUAAUGACGGUACCCGUAGAAUAAGCCCGGCUAACUUCGCGCCAGCAGCCGC